CAGAGAAGGUGCUACCAGUAGAAUGCAGAGAAGUGCCACAAACCUCAACAAGUGUUCAUGUUUGGACCGCAUGUUAUACAUUGCCUAUAUUUCCUCCAGUUGUACAGAUGGCCCUUGAUAGAAAGGACAUUGGUUUCAAAUCAAAAGACAAAUCUGCCCUUCGUGCAGCUCUAAUACAGACUCUGUUUGAUGACCUCAGCAAAUAUACGCUGUAUCCAGACCACAUAAUGUACAGUACUGUGCUAAGUACUUUGUGCUGUAAGUACAGAUUUCUAAGGGAUGACAGCCAAACUGGAUAUGCUACUCUACUUGAAAUACUGAGAAAUAAAUUCAAAAAAGAGAGAAAGACACUUAUUUCAGUGGAGACUGUAGAAGACAUGAAAAAAAAGUUUGGUGCUGUGGGUCGAGGAAGGAAGCGUGCACCAGAGCAACAGCAACCGCUCAUGAAAAAGAGAAGAGAAUCUAUGCACAGUGAGGAGUUCCCAGGAGAAGACGAGCAUAGUAUUGCCAAACACUUGGACUCCAUAAGAAAAGAAAUAACGAAAUU